rnacentral:rRNA from 1 species
UUUAAGCUUCCUACGGGAGGCUGCAGUGGGGAAUUUUGGACAAUGGGCGCAAGCCUGAUCCAGCCAUGCCGCGUGCGGGAAGAAGGCCUUCGGGUUGUAAACCGCUUUUGUCAGGGAAGAAACGGUCUGAACGAAUACUUCGGACUAAUGACGGUACCUGAAGAAUAAGCACCGGCUAACUACGUGCCAGCAGCCGCGGUAAUACGUAGGGUGCAAGCGUUAAUCGGAAUUACUGGGCGUAAAGCGUGCGCAGGCGGUUGUGCAAGACAGAUGUGAAAUCCCCGGGCUCAACCUGGGAACUGCAUUUGUGACUGCACAGCUAGAGUACGGCAGAGGGGGAUGGAAUUCCGCGUGUAGCAGUGAAAUGCGUAGAUAUGCGGAGGAACACCGAUGGCGAAGGCAAUCCCCUGGGCCUGUACUGACGCUCAUGCACUAGGAGCGUGGGGAGCAAACAGGAUUAGAUACCCUUGUAGUCGAAUUCUUUAUC